UACGUAGGGUGCAAGCGUUGUCCGGAAUUAUUGGGCGUAAAGAGCUCGUAGGCGGUCUGUCGCGUCGGCUGUGAAAUCCCGAGGCUCAACCUCGGGUCUGCAGUCGAUACGGGCAAACUAGAGUAUUGCAGGGGAGACUGGAAUUCCUGGUGUAGCGGUGAAAUGCGCAGAUAUCAGGAGGAACACCGAUGGCGAAGGCAGGUCUCUGGGCCACUACUGACGCUGAGAAGCGAAAGCAUGGGGAGCGAACAGG
rnacentral:rRNA from 1 species